UCGAGAAUCUUCGGCAAUGGGCGCAAGCCUGACCGAGCGACGCCGCGUGGAGGACGAAGGCCUCGGGUUGUAAACUCCUGUCGAGGGGGAAGAAGCGCCGCAAGGCGUUGACUGAUCCCUGGAGGAAGCACGGGCUAAGUUCGUGCCAGCAGCCGCGGUAAGACGAACCGUGCGAACGUUAUUCGGAAUCACUGGGCUUAAAGCGCGUGUAGGCGGGACGGCACGUCCGGCGCUGAAAUCCCCGGCUACCGGGAAGUGCGCGGAUACUGACGAUCUCGAGGGGGUGCAGGGGCAUGUGGAACUUCCGGUGGAGCGGUGAAAUGCGUAGAUAUCGGAAGGAACGCCGGUGGCGAAAGCGACGUGCUGGACACCUACUGACGCUGAGGCGCGAAAGCCAGGGGAGCAAACGGGAUUAGAUACCCC
rnacentral:rRNA from 1 species